UGCUACAGGCUUAACACAUGCAAGUCGAGGGGCAUCAGGAAGAAAGCUUGCUUUCUUUGCUGGCGACCGGCGCACGGGUGAGUAACACGUAUCCAACCUGCCCUUUACUCGGGGAUAGCCUUUCGAAAGAAAGAUUAAUACCCGAUAGUAUAAUGAUUCCGCAUGGUUUCAUUAUUAAAGGAUUCCGGUAAAGGAUGGGGAUGCGUUCCAUUAGGUUGUUGGUGAGGUAACGGCCCACCAAGCCUUCGAUGGAUAGGGGUUCUGAGAGGAAGGUCCCCCACAUUGGAACUGAGACACGGUCCAAACUCCUACGGGAGGCAGCAGUGAGGAAUAUUGGUCAAUGGGCGCUAGCCUGAACCAGCCAAGUAGCGUGAAGGAUGAAGGCUCUAUGGGUCGUAAACUUCUUUUAUAUAAGAAUAAAGUGCAGUAUGUAUACUGUUUUGUAUGUAUUAUAUGAAUAAGGAUCGGCUAACUCCGUGCCAGCAGCCGCGGUAAUACGGAGGAUCCGAGCGUUAUCCGGAUUUAUUGGGUUUAAAGGGAGCGUAGGUGGACUGGUAAGUCAGUUGUGAAAGUUUGCGGCUCAACCGUAAAAUUGCAGUUGAUACUGUCAGUCUUGAGUACAGUAGAGGUGGGCGGAAUUCGUGGUGUAGCGGUGAAAUGCUUAGAUAUCACGAAGAACUCCGAUUGCGAAGGCAGCUCACUGGACUGCAACUGACACUGAUGCUCGAAAGUGUGGGUAUCAAACAGGAUUAGACACCCUGGUAGUCCACACAGUAAACGAUGAAUACUCGCUGUUUGCGAUAUACAGUAAGCGGCCAAGCGAAAGCAUUAAGUAUUCCACCUGGGGAGUACGCCGGCAACGGUGAAACUCAAAGGAAUUGACGGGGGCCCGCACAAGCGGAGGAACAUGUGGUUUAAUUCGAUGAUACGCGAGGAACCUUACCCGGGCUUAAAUUGCAGUGGAAUGAUGUGGAAACAUGUCAGUGAGCAAUCACCGCUGUGAAGGUGCUGCAUGGUUGUCGUCAGCUCGUGCCGUGAGGUGUCGGCUUAAGUGCCAUAACGAGCGCAACCCUUAUCUUUAGUUACUAACAGGUUAUGCUGAGGACUCUAGAGAGACUGCCGUCGUAAGAUGUGAGGAAGGUGGGGAUGACGUCAAAUCAGCACGGCCCUUACGUCCGGGGCUACACACGUGUUACAAUGGGGGGUACAGAAGGCAGCUAGCGGGUGACCGUAUGCUAAUCCCAAAAGCCUCUCUCAGUUCGGAUCGAAGUCUGCAACCCGACUUCGUGAAGCUGGAUUCGCUAGUAAUCGCGCAUCAGCCACGGCGCGGUGAAUACGUUCCCGGGCCUUGUACACACCGCCCGUCAAGCCAUGGGAGCCGGGGGUACCUGAAGUACGUAACCGCAAGGAUCGUCCUAGGGUAAAACUGGUGACUGGGGCUAA
rnacentral:rRNA from 1 species